rnacentral:rRNA from 1 species
CCAAUAGCGUAUAUUAAAGUUGUUGCAGUUAAAAAGCUCGUAGUUGAAUUUCGGGAUCAAUAUAUUGGUCGUGCCUCCGGUAUGCACUGGUAUUAUUGAUUUCUACCUUCUGACGAACUGUGAUGUCAUUAAUUUGGUGUCAUAGGGAAUAAGGACUGUUACUUUGAAAAAAUUAGAGUGUUUAAAGCAGGCACACGCUUGAAUACAUUAGCAUGGAAUAAUGAAAUAGGACGUUUGACCCUAUUUUGUUGGUUUCUAGGAUCGACGUAAUGAUUAAUAGGGAUAAUUGGGGGCAUUAGUAUUCAAUUGUCAGAGGUGAAAUUCUUGGAUUUAUUGAAGACUAACUACUGCGAAAGCAUUUGCCAAGGAUGUUUUCAUUAAUCAAGAACGAAAGUUAGGGGAUCGAAGACGAUCAGAUACCGUCGUAGUCUUAACCAUAAACUAUGCCGACUAGGGAUCGGAUGAUGUUAAUUUUUUAAUGACUCAUUCGGCGCCUUACG